rnacentral:rRNA from 1 species
UACGGAGGGGGCUAGCGUUGUUCGGAAUUACUGGGCGUAAAGCGCACGUAGGCGGCUUUGUAAGUUAGAGGUGAAAGCCCAGGGCUCAACUCCGGAAUUGCCUUUAAGACUGCAUCGCUAGAAUUGUGGAGAGGUAAGUGGAAUUCCGAGUGUAGAGGUGAAAUUCGUAGAUAUUCGGAAGAACACCAGUGGCGAAGGCGACUUACUGGACACAUAUUGACGCUGAGGUGCGAAAGCGUGGGGAGCAAACAGG